rnacentral:rRNA from 1 species
UACGAAGGGGGCUAGCGUUGUUCGGAAUCACUGGGCGUAAAGCGCACGUAGGCGGAUGUGCCAGUCAGGGGUGAAAUCCCGGAGCUCAACUCCGGAACUGCCUUUGAUACAGCACGUCUUGAGUCCGAUAGAGGUGGGUGGAAUUCCUAGUGUAGAGGUGAAAUUCGUAGAUAUUAGGAAGAACACCGGUGGCGAAGGCGGCCCACUGGAUCGGUACUGACGCUGAGGUGCGAAAGCGUGGGGAGCAAACAGG